rnacentral:piRNA from 1 species
UAGUAAACUGCAUCCUUCUCCGGG